UAGUUAAAAAAAAAAAAACUGCUCUCCUUCCCCAUUCCAGUACAGCGAACGCGAACGCGAACGCAAACCCAAACCAAACUCUCCGGACGGAAAAAAUAUAAGACCGUUUCAGAACGUUCUGGAAGGCUCCAGGUGUUGCCAUCUCCGAAUCAACGUUCUCAUUUCAAAUCAGUUGGAGCUUUAACCAAAGAAGUUUGAAUCUCAAUUCCAUUCAAUUCUCACCCGUUUCCCCUAUUUCGACCCUAGUCUCUGUCAAGAGGAGGAAUUUUGACCAUUGAAAAGAUACAAAAAAAAAGUGAUUUUUUCUUUAGAAAUCAAAAGUUCUCCGAAUCCCUGAAUUUCAAAUUUAAAUCAUUGUUCUUAUUGUUUUCGUUUCCGGCGAAGUUAAGCUCGGAAUCGUGGUGGAAGUAUUGCUCUUCUCGUCCAUCCCAGGUUUGUUGCGCUACAAGAGAUUGCAUUUAUUUGGAAGUCCAAUGAUAGGGGGAGAUUCAAGUCCCGAGAGUGAUUGUUCGACUAUUGGAGGCAAG